ACCCGGACCCGUUGCCUUCCACAGCUCGUGUACUAUAUAAGGUAGAUUAAUUCCACCCUUUCUCUCUAUUCCUUGCGGCGAAAGGUCGAAGGCUCUCGCUCUCUAGGCAGUUGUCGAAUUUUUAAAGAUUUGCAUUAUUUGGAGUUGAGGUCGAAGUGUUGGAGAUUGAGAUUGAAAUUAGGGUUAUGGAUUUUAAUUUUCUAUUUUUGAGAAAUCAGGGUUUGGAUUUUGGGAAAAUUCGAAGUUGAAGUUAGGGUUAGGGCUUGCAUUGAUGGGUUGCUGAAUUUCUGUUCACAGUAGCCGGAAGUAGCU